CAGCCGCCGCGGGAAUACGAAGGGUGCAAGCGUUAAUCGGAAUUACUGGGCGUAAAGCGCGCGUAGGUGGUUUGGUAAGAUGGAUGUGAAAUCCCCGGGCUCAACCUGGGAACUGCAUCCAUAACUGCCUGACUAGAGUACGGUAGAGGGUGGUGGAAUUUCCUGUGUAGCGGUGAAAUGCGUAGAUAUAGGAAGGAACACCAGUGGCGAAGGCGACCACCUGGACUGAUACUGACACUGAGGUGCGAAAGCGUGGGGAGCAAACAGGAUUAGAUACCCCUGUAGUCCCUGUCUCUUAUAC
rnacentral:rRNA from 1 species